UCCAAGAUGAAUCUCAGCCUUUUGAAUCUUUGAUCAACUCUUGAUCUUUGACCGUAAUCUCAACAUUUGAACUGCAGUCUUUCUCCCUGUUCCUUGCUAUAGAAGAAAUCAUCCUCAACUUAGGCAUGUGGGAAGAUGGGAUGCCCAACCCUUGGGUGUUGGAAAGAGAGGAGGAAGAGAAGAUGGCGUGGAGAUGGAGAGAGGAGGUGAUCUGAUUUCUCACUUUAAUUAAUUUUAAAACCUU
rnacentral:lncRNA from 1 species